rnacentral:rRNA from 1 species
GCCUACGGGGGGCAGCAGUAGGGAAUCUUCCACAAUGGGCGAAAGCCUGAUGGAGCAACGCCGCGUGGGUGAAGAAGGUCUUCGGAUCGUAAAACCCUGUUGUUAGAGAAGAAAGUGCGUGAGAGUAACUGUUCACGUUUCGACGGUAUCUAACUAGAAAGCCACGGCUAACUACGUGCCAGCAGCCGCGGUAAUACGUAGGUGGCAAGCGUUAUCCGGAUUUAUUGGGCGUAAAGGGAACUCAGGCGGCCUUUUACGUCUGAUGUGCAAGCCUUCGGUUUAACCGGAGUA